rnacentral:rRNA from 1 species
AGCUGCGGCAGCGACGCUUAUGCGUUGUUGGGUAGGGGAGCGUUCUGUAAGCCUGCGAAGGUGUGCUGUGAGGCAUGCUGGAGGUAUCAGAAGUGCGAAUGCUGACAUAAGUAACGAUAAAGCGGGUGAAAAGCCCGCUCGCCGGAAGACCAAGGGUUCCUGUCCAACGUUAAUCGGGGCAGGGUGAGUCGACCCCUAAGGCGAGGCCGAAAGGCGUAGUCGAUGGGAAACAGGUUAAUAUUCCUGUACUUGGUGUUACUGCGAAGGGGGGACGGAGAAGGCUAUGUUGGCCGGGCGACGGUUGUCCCGGUUUAAGCGUGUAGGCUGGUUUUCCAGGCAAAUCCGGAAAACUAAGGCUGAGGCGUGAUGACGAGGCACUACGGUGCUGAAGCAACAAAUGCCCUGCUUCCAGGAAAAGCCUCUAAGCAUCAGGUAACAUCAAAUCGUACCCCAAACCGACACAGGUGGUCAGGUAGAGAAUACCAAGGCGCUUGAGAGAACUCGGGUGAAGGAACUAGGCAAAAUGGUGCCGUAACUUCGGGAGAAGGCACGCUGAUAUGUAGGUGAAGCGACUUGCUCGUGGAGCUGAAAUCAGUCGAA